rnacentral:pre_miRNA from 1 species
UAAAUACUCCCUCCGUCCCAUAUUAAGUGACUUUCUAUUACAUGCAUCUAGACACUUUUUAGAUAUAGAUAUAUCCAUAUUUGGACAAAUUUGAGUCACUUAAUAUAGGACGGAGGGAGUAUGUG